rfam:Gorilla gorilla gorilla genomic chromosome, chr19, whole genome shotgun sequence
GCCGGGUGUGGUGGUGUGCACCUGUAAUCCCAGCUACUCGGGAGGCUGAGACAGGAGAAUCACUUGAACCCAGGAGGCAGAGGUUGCAGUGAGCCAAGAUUGUGCCACUGCACCCUAGCCUGGGUGACAGAGCAAGACUCCGUCUCAA